rnacentral:tRNA from 1 species
GUGUCAAUAGCUCAGUGGUUAGAGCGCUGGCAUGGUACGCCAGAGGCCCGGUUGAGACU